rnacentral:rRNA from 1 species
CGCUGGCGGCGUGCCUAACACAUGCAAGUCGAGCGAGGAGAUCCUUCGGGAUGAUCCUAGCGGCGGACGGGUGAGUAACACGUGGGCAACCUGCCUCAUAGAGAGGAAUAGCCUUCCGAAAGGGAGAUUAAUACCUCAUAACAUUGCAGUUUCGCAUGGAACAGCAAUUAAAGGAGUAAUCCGCUAUGAGAUGGGCCCGCGGCGCAUUAGCUAGUUGGUGAGGUAACGGCUCACCAAGGCGACGAUGCGUAGCCGACCUGAGAGGGUGAUCGGCCACAUUGGGACUGAGACACGGCCCAGACUCCUACGGGAGGCAGCAGUGGGGAAUAUUCCGCAAUGGACGAAAGUCUGACGGAGCAACGCCGCGUGAAGUGAAGAAGGUUUUCGGAUCGUAAAGCUCUUUCGUUAGGGACGAACGUGCUCUUUGUGAAUAAUGAGGAGUAAUGACGGUACCUAAAUAAGAAGCCACGGCUAACUACGUGCCAGCAGCGGC